GUUUGGGGGCAGUUAGGGAGGGUCCCUGGGCUCCGUCUCGGAGGCGCCUCUGGUGGUCCUCAGCCUGUGGCCCCGGCCGUGCGGGCGGACCCCCGGCACUGGGCCAGCCCAUUAAUUCAUACCUUUGUUCAGAAAAAUAUAUGGAGACAUCUAUACCCACAGAUUUCACACAAAUAUAAAUGAAGACAUGGAUAAAAAGAAAAGCAACAAAAGCCCCAGGAUUGUCAUAUAUGAAGAGGAAAUAUACAGAGAUAUCACACUAGCAACGAGCCAAUCAACUAAAACAGAAGUAAAGGAGAUGACUAGAACAAUUCCUGCAACCUUAGAGGCAGAGACGACAGAAGAUAUUUAUGAAGAUU